rnacentral:rRNA from 1 species
UUCCGGUUGAUCCUGCCGGAGGUUACUGCUAUCGAGGUUCGACUAAGCCAUGCGAGUCGAAUGUAGCAAUACAUGGCGAACUGCUCAGUAACACGUGGACAACCUGCCCUUAGGACGGGGAUAAACCCGGGAAACUGGGUAUAAUACCCGAUAGGUCUCGAUUGCUGGAAUGCAUCGAGAUUUAAAGCUCCGGCGCCUAAGGAUGGGUCUGCGGCCUAUCAGGUAGUAGUGGGUGUAGCGUACCUACUAGCCUACGACGGGUACGGGUUGUGAGAGCAAGAGCCCGGAGUUGGAUUCUGAGACACGAAUCCAGGCCCUACGGGGCGCAGCAGGCGCGAAAACUUUACAAUGCGGGAAACCGCGAUAAGGGAACCUCGAGUGCCUGUAUAUGCAGGCUGUCCAGGUGUCUAAAAAACACCUGAAGAAAGGGCCGGGCAAGACCGGUGCCAGCCGCCGCGGUAAUACCGGCGGCUCGAGUGGUGGCCACUUUUAUUGGGCUUAAAGCGUUCGUAGCUGGGUUGUUAAGUCUCUUGGGAAAUCUGGCGGCUUAACCGUCAGGCGUCCAAGGGAUACUGGCAAUCUUGGAACCGGGAGAGGUGAGGGGUACUUCGGGGGUAGGAGUGAAAUCCUGUAAUCCUCGAGGGACCACCUGUGGCGAAGGCGCCUCACCAGAACGGCUUCGACAGUGAGGGACGAAAGCUGGGGGAGCAAACCGGAUUAGAUACCCGGGUAGUCCCAGCCCUAAACGAUGCGCGUUAGGUGUAUCGGUGACCACGAGUCACCGAGGUGCCGAAGGGAAACCGUGAAACGUGCCGCCUGGGAAGUACGGUCGCAAGGCUGA